rnacentral:sRNA from 1 species
AUGGACCACGCGUACACGCCGGCUUUGAGCGCGACACCGACAGCCACCUGACGACUGCUCGCUACGAUUUGUUCGCC